GAGCGAGCAGGUCUCGCAUCCGUCGCUGUACGCGCACGCACACACUUAGACACGCGCGCGGGAACCGAACACACCUGGGCACGUCAUGUGACGCGCUACCUGGGCGUGGAGAAUCACUGACUGUUAUGUGUCAGAUGCUUUUGUGUUGAGAGGGAAGCUGAAGCUGAAGCUCUCUCCGCUCUCUUUACACUGCGUAAUACUGCCAUUGGCGCCAUGCGUUUAAAAAGUAGGAUGUGAACUUUCUGCUUCAGCAUCGCGUUUGGGGAUCUAUUUCUCGUGUUGUCUUUUGGAAGAGGAGAACUGAGAUCAGGACGUGUUUGUGCCGCUACUACUGUUCGUUCCAAGCUCUCUGUCCAGCCAUUCAUUGUGGAUUUAGUUCAGGUUGGUAACAUAGCUGAGAUUCCAUCUAAAGAACUUGAGAUCUCAGCACUGGAAGGCUAGCGCAUUAGACCGCCCUCAAGUCUGCAUUGUCGACCAGAGGUGGGGAUACACUACGUGUAUCAGACAUAAGCGUAUGGCGUGAGCACAUGGGAGGUUCCAAGACUUACUUAAGGGGCUACG